CUUAACCCACUGAGCGAGGCCAGGGAUUGAACCUGCAACCUCAUGGUUUCCAGUCGGAUUCGCUAACCACUGCACCACGACGGGAACUCCACAAACUUGUGUUUUUAACUCAGGUUGAUGUUUUAUGUUUCAUAAGGUCUGUAAAAUUGAUAAAUUGAUUCCCAUCUUUUCUUCCUCCUACCUAUGCUUUAUAGCCUUUGCUUGGCUACCUUGAUGACAGACAAGGAAAAGCAUGAGGGGGGUGUGUUUGAAAACCGAUGUUACUCACCAGAAACUCUAGCCAAAGGUAAUAGAAAGUGACCUCCUGAAACAAAGGAAGGUCUGGUUGGAACUGGCAAGAUGGCUGGUCUACCUAGAAGAAUGGAUUGGUCACUUGGCAGUGAUUUCUCCAUUAAGAAUAUCUGUAAUAUCUGGGUGUCUGCAUGGGGCCCAGAGCAGGGUUAGACUUAAGGGAGCCCUUGACAUGCAUCAUUCAUGUCAUGGUAGUGAUCACAAAGCCAGAGGAGCUCAGGCUUCCUGCUGUCAUCAAGGACUCAGUGGAUCCUUCCUUUUCUGAGGUCAUCCCUAGGAGGCCUGGCUUGGUGGACACUGUUUCCAGUUUAACCCUGGACUGGGGGGAUUCAAGAGAGUAGAAGGCGUUUGCCGCUGCACAAAGUCCAGAGCCAAUCCCAUCACCAUCACAUUCUCCUGCCCUGUAUCAGAUACCUGUGUGCAUGAAAGAGAGGCCAUGUGUAGAAGGUGACUUACUGCAGCAUCGCUCCCAACCUGGUAUCCAGCACCAGGGGCAUCAGAACGCAGCCAGGCCCAGUCAUGUACACAUUGUCGAAGGCUGCCAUUGUGCUACAGGGAGGAGUGAUUUCUACCAUGUUGCCUUCCCCAUUUGAGUUUCUAGAAGACUGCAGCCUCAGCAGACAACUUCCUCUGCAGCCUCGUGACAGAACCUGAAUCAAAGGCAUUCAGCUAAGCCAUAGUUUGAUUUCUGACUCACAGAAACUGAACUGGAUUGGAGACAAGAUGGCAGAGUAGAAGGACCUUGAACUCACCUUCUUUCAUAAGCACAGCACAAUCACAACUAACUGUUGAACAACUAUCAAUAUAAGGCUGAACCUAACAAAAAAGAUAUUCUGUCUAAAGCAAUAAGGAAACCAGAGUGAUAUGGCGGGAGGGGAAACCCACAAACUGGAAAGCAAUUAUAUUGCAGAAGUUCUCCUACAGGAAUGAGAGUUCUGAGCCCAAAGUCAGGCUCCCCAGCCUGGGGGUCUGGCAUCAGAAAGAACCAGAUGGUUUCUCAAGUGAAUUCUACCAUUUAGAGAAGAGCGAAUUCCUAUCCUUUUGAAACUGUUCCAAAGAAUUGCAGAGGAACGAAUACUCUCAUACUCAUUCUGAGGCUGCCAUCACCCUGAUACCUAAACUGGAUAAAGAUACGACAAAAAAAGAAAAUCAUGGGCCAAUAUCACUGAUGAACAUAGAUCCAAAAAUCCUCAACAACAUACUAGCAAACUGUCCAAUAAUACGUUAAAGGGUCACACAUCAUGAUCAAGUGGGAUUUAUUCUGGGAGGGUGAGGAUUUUUCAAUAUCUGCAAAUCAAUCAGUGUGAUAAACCAUAUUAACAAGUUGAAUAAAAACUAUGAUAUAUCCCAAUAAAUGCAGAAAAAGCUUUUUUGAUAAAAUUCAAAACCCAUUUAUGAUAAAAACUCUCCAGAAAGUGGGCAUAGAGAGAACCUACCUCAACAUAA